rnacentral:rRNA from 1 species
AACGUAGGUGGCAAGCGUUAUCCGGAUUCAUUGGGCGUAAAGCGCGUGCAGGUGGCUUUGUAAGUUGGACGUUAAAUCUCCCAGCCUAACUGGGAGUGGUCGUUCAAUACUGCGAGGCUUGAGGGCAGAAGAGGGGGGUGGAAUUGCUGGUGUAGUGGUGAAAUGCGUAGAUAUCAGCAGGAACACCUGUGGCGAAAGCGGCCCCCUGGUUUGCUCCUGACACUCAGACGCGAAAGCUAGGGGAGUGAAC